rnacentral:rRNA from 1 species
UAAUACGUAGGCGGCGAGCGUUAUCCGGAUUUACUGGGCGUAAAGAGGGCGUAGGCGGUUUUUCAAGUCGAUUGUAAAAUCUCCCGGCUUAACUGGGAGGAGUCAUUCGAUACUGUUAGACUAGAGAGCAGCAGGGGGAGGUAGAAUUCCCGGUGUAGUGGUGAAAUGUGUAGAUAUCGGGAGGAAUACCAGUGGCGAAGGCGGCCUCCUAGGCUGUUUCUGACGCUGAGGCCCGAAAGCGUGGGGAGCAAACAGGAUCAGAUACCCUGGUAGUCCACGCUGUAAUCGAUGGACACUAGGUAUAGGGAGUAUCGACCCUCUCUGUGCCGAAGCUAACGCUUUAAGUGUCCCGCCUGGGGACUACGGCCGCAAGGCUA